GACAGAGGGUGCAAACGUUGCUCGGAAUCACUGGGCGUAAAGGGCGUGUAGGCGGGACAGUAAGUCGGGCGUGAAAUCCUGGCUCAACCCAGACUGCACUCGAAACUACUAUUCUUGAGUGUCGGAGAGGAAGCGGAAUUCCUGGUGUAGAGGUGAAAUUCGUAGAUAUCAGGAGGAACACCAGUGGCGAAGGCGGCUUUCUGGACGUAGUAACUGACGCUGAGACGGCGAAAGCGUGGGAG
rnacentral:rRNA from 1 species